UACAGAGGUCCCAAGCGUUGUUCGGAUUCACUGGGCGUAAAGGGUGCGUAGGUGGUGGGGUAAGUCCGAUGUGAAAGCUCCGAGCUCAACUCGGAAAUUGCAUUAGAAACUACCUUGCUAGAGGGUUGGAGGGGGGACUGGAAUUCUCGGUGUAGCAGUGAAAUGCGUAGAUAUCGAGAGGAACACCAGUGGCGAAGGCGAGUCCCUGGACAACUCCUGACACUGAGGCACGAAAGCUAGGGGAGCAAACAGG
rnacentral:rRNA from 1 species